rnacentral:lncRNA from 1 species
AGUUUUGUGAUUUUUUAAAAAAUCCUCAUUUAGACCUCAGCUAACAGUGGUGAGAACCUUGCUUCUGUCGGUGCUGCGUGCCUGUGACAGCCCCCGGCCCGCCCCCACUUUACCCUGCUGAUGUGUAGCUUUCAGGUGAGAGCGCUGAGUUGCCAAGUUCUACUUUCAAAUGUCUCCCUUUACUUUUUGUGUUUUAAGGUGUAUUUUGAUUACAUGAGAAGCUGGAUCCAAAUGCUACAGCAAUUACCUCAAGCAUCGCAUAGUUUAAAAAAUCUGUUAGAAGAAGAAUGGAAUUUCACCAAAGAAAUAACUCAUUACAUACGGGGAGGAGAAGCACAGGCCGGGAAGCUUUUCUGUGACAUUGCAGGAAUGCUGCUGAAAUCUACAGGAAGUUUUUUAGAAUUUGGCUUACAGGAGAGCUGUGCUGAAUUUUGGACUAGUGCGGAUGACAGCAGUGCUUCCGACGAAAUCAGGAGGUCUGUUAUAGAGAUCAGUCGAGCCCUGAAGGAGCUCUUCCAUGAAGCCAGAGAAAGGGCUUCCAAAGCACUUGGAUUUGCUAAAAUGUUGAGAAAGGACCUGGAAAUAGCAG